GAAACCCUUCUUCCAGAAAGACAGACACACAUCUGGCUUCCUUCUUUUUUUCUCUUCUGCCUCUUAUUGGCUUUCCGGAUUUUUUUAACUUUUUAAAAACACCAAAGUCUGAUUUUUAUAUAUAGUAGCCUGUGAUCUUCCCCUUUAAGGAUCCUGAUACAUCACCUCAUAUCCUGAAAGAAUAUAAGAGGCAUCUUCAGUGUGCAGUAAGAGUUUUGUGCAAUCUGAGAGAGAGAAAAGAUUGGUUCCACUAAUGGAUCACCCAACUUGUGAUGGGAUUUUGUGCUCAAACCUGGAAGAACAUUGAGCGCAGGGAGUGGUGAGGAACUGAGAGUCUCUGUAACCAGAUGCUGACAGCCCUUGUGACAAGCACCAGAGCUCGUGGUGACUGUGAGUGUCAGAGCUCAUGAAACCCACAGCCCGUCUUCCCUGGUCUGACCGUUCUGUCCAGAGAUUUUGGACUUGACACAUCCCACUACUCCAGAGGCAUCUGUGGGGAGUUUUGCAGAAUGAACGAGGAGAGAACAGUAUAAAAAAGGGGAAAUGUUUUUAACUCCUGUGGGCAUUUUCUGAGGCACGCUUUGAGGCCUGUGCUUUAACAGGAAUUCUACAACAAUCCAGACACCAAGGAUUUCUGCCAUUUUUUUUUUAAAGGGUGGAUAUUUUCAAGAAAUAGUCAGGGAUUGGGGCCAUGUAUGAGGCCGGCAGCUCAGG
rnacentral:lncRNA from 1 species